AUGCUUCACGUGGCUGGAGGUCUGGUUGAUGCAGAUAAAGUGAGCCAAUGCCUCCAGUUGCUCCAGAGCUCAAGCCCGAGUUACCUACUACUGUCGUCUUUAGAUGCUGCAAGAGCUCAGUUGAGUGAGAAUGGAAAAUAUUUUGAUGACUCGGUGGCUAUGGCUUUAGAAACAAAAGAUCAGCUGAGGGUAAUCCCUGGAAUAUUUGUCCUGGACUUGUCAAGCUUUGUUUCUGAAUUCCCUGCAAUUGAUCCUCUUCGUAUCACACUAAGUGCUGCAGAUCUACAUUUAUCUGGAUACGAAGCAGAUGAGAGUCUCGAAUUGUAUCUGAUCUUGUCGGAACACAGGCGGUGA
rnacentral:rRNA from 1 species